CAGUAGCCGCGGUAAUACAGAGGGUGCAAGCGUUAAUCGGAAUUACUGGGCGUAAAGCGCGCGUAGGCGGUUUGGCAAGUUUGGUGUGAAAUCUUCGGGCUCAACUCGAAGUCUGCAUCGAAAACUGCCGGGCUUGAGUAUGGGAGAGGUGAGUGGAAUUUCCGGUGUAGCGGUGAAAUGCGUAGAUAUCGGAAGGAACACCUGUGGCGAAGGCGACUACCUGGACUGAUACUGACACUGAGGUGCGAAAGCGUGGGGAGCAAACAGGAUUAGAUACCCCUGUAGUCCCUGUCUCUUAUAC
rnacentral:rRNA from 1 species